AUACGAAGGGGGCUAGCGUUGUUCGGAAUCACUGGGCGUAAAGCGCACGUAGGUGGACUAAUUAGUUGAGGGUGAAAUCCCGGGGCUUAACCUCGGAACUGCCUUCAAUACUGUUAGUCUUGAGUCCGAGAGAGGUGAGUGGAAUUCCUAGUGUAGAGGUGAAAUUCGUAGAUAUUAGGAAGAACACCAGUGGCGAAGGCGGCUCACUGGCUCGGUACUGACGCUGAGGUGCGAAAGCGUGGGGAGCAAACAGGAUUAGAUACCCUUGUAGUCC
rnacentral:rRNA from 1 species